rnacentral:rRNA from 1 species
GGAGGAUGCAAGCGUUAUCCGGAUUCAUUGGGUUUAAAGGGGUGCGUAGGCGGGGGCAAUCAGUCAGUGGUGAAAUCCUGCGGGCUUAACCGUAGAACUGCCAUUGAUACUGUUGUCCUUGAGUGUAGUUGAAGUGGGCGGAAUAUGUAAUGUAGCGGUGAAAUGCAUAGAUAUUACAUAGAACACCAAUUGCGAAGGCAGCUCACUAAGCUACCACUGACGCUGAGGCACGAAAGCGUGGGGAGCGAACAGGAUUAGGUACCCUGGUAGUCCACGCUGUAAACGAUGAUCACUCGUUGUUGGCAAUACAUCGUCAGCGACUGAGCGAAAGCAUUAAGUGAUCCACCUGGGGAGUACGAUCGCAAGAUUG